CUCAAACCAAGAUGGCGGUGGUGAUGGUGGUGAUCUGUCAAAGUCGAAGUGUUUAUCUCGUCAUUUUAGUGAUUUCCAACGAAAUGUGACGCCUUUUACAACCGUUCUAUUGAAGGAUGCUUGAUCUCGCAAAUUGUAGAAGGUUGGAGACUAUGGAAUGACGGAGAAUCCUGUAACAUUUGAGACUUCGUGUAGAGGAGAGUGAACCGUUACCUACAAGAUUGUAUUGUAGUUGAGAGAUGGUCAGGUUGGAAGAUGGUGCAGAAUAGUACACCGAUGUGUAUAUGAUUAGAAUUGUAAUCAUUACAAAAUGCUGCUUACCUGAUAGUGGAUUCUUGUUAGAUAAUGUGCUUGGAAGGAAAAUACUUCGAUUUAAAUCAACAUAUCACUUCGCCUUGAAACGUCACUGAAGCUAAACUUGGAUUUUUCAAAGAAAUAAACACGGCCUAAGAAUUUGGACAAGUCCAUUAGCUACAACUGGAUUCUAUUGAGCAGGUUGUUCUUAUUCGGUGGUCCCUCUCUAGCUAGUGAUGAUGUCCUACCAGAAUUACCAGUCAAGUUUCCUUUGUAGAAUAACAAAGGAAAGGAGUGUUGAUGUUCCUGAAACUAGAGAUCACUGAUCUCGCCAGAAUAGUAGACUACAUGGAAGAGGUUCGGUAUAGAAGAUUACCCGCUAUAUUGGAAGGUUCAAGGCAUUGACUACAGUAACUGAUGUCUUCAAGACAGCGAGAUCUCUCAGAAUUAUAAGACAUGGCAGGUUCAAUAGGAUAUUGUGAGUUGAGAAGUGUAUACCAGAUAAGAGGGGUAAUGUUGACAAUUCAACGCCUUUACGAAAAUUAUAUAUGCAACCGGUCUGUAUUGCAGAGGAGUCUUCCGUAGAAGAGAACUGUGGUACUCUGUAUUUAAUAAGUAUCUUAAAAUGGUAUGAAAAAUAUUUUAACCAUAAAUUGGACUUUUAGCC